UUUUAAAUGUAGUCUAAAAUGACAUACCCAAAUCUGAGCCUGUAGCUCAGGACCUGAAGCAAGGAUAUGCAUAUUCUUGAUACCAUUUGAAAGGAAACACUUUGAAGUUUGUGGAAAUGUGAAAUGAAUGUAGAAGAAUAUAACACACUAGAUCUGGUAAAAGAUAAUACAAAGAAAAAAACGUGAUUAUUUUUUGUACCUUCAUCUUUAAAAUGCAAGAGAAAGGCCAUAAUGUAUUAUUUCAGCCCAGGUGCAAUUUAGAUUUUGUCCACUAAAUGGCAGCAGUGUAUGUUUUACACUGAUCCAAUGAACCAUUGCAUAUCUGUUCAAAAUGUUGUAUCAAGACUGCCCAAAUGUGCCUAAUUGGUUUAUUAAUACAUUUUCACGUUCGUAAGUGCACUCUCCUCAAACAAUAGCAUGGUAUUAUUUUACUGUAAUAGCUACAAUGGACAGUGCAGUUAGAUUAACAAGAAUAUAAGCUUUCUGCCCAUAUCAGAUAUGUCCUGGGAUAUUUGCUAAUCAUAUUAGCCUACAUUAGCUCAACUGUCCCGCGGGGGGUACACUGAUCUCGUAGAGGUUUAAGUUUGUUAUUACAGACCGAUCUGGCAUUUCACCAUCUGGGAACAACACAACUGCAAUUGUUUUCUCUUAUUUAUGUCCAAGAUAGCUAGCCACAAAGCUAACUAGCUAGCUAGCUAACUUUAGCUGCCUCUCUAGUCUAGAUCCAGUUCGCCAGCAGAGCAGCACUCCCCAAAAAGACAGGGGUCACUUUUGCUUUUAGAACUUUCUAAUCAUCUCUUAAGUUGUUUAGCAUGCGAUCACACUAGCUACAUAUAUUUAGCUAAAAAGACUGUUGAUGAAAUUGAUUGCUUUCUUUGUAGCUUGCUAUCUAGCUUGGGUGUAGGCUACAGUAGGCUAGUACAGUAACGUUACAGUAGCUAGCUAAGUUACACCUUUACUGAUUGACAACAAUGUAGCCUGAAAACUUCUGUCUAGCUAGUUGGGCUUAGAAAUUGAUAGAUAAACAUAUGGAGAGAUCACCAAUUCAUGCAGCUGUGGUGGUCCAAUUGUUUAGCUUUUUCCCUGCUUUAAAGAGUGAAAAUACUCAAGCCUUUAUCCAUACCAGCAGGUGUCCCAUGAAAAAGUUGUCUUCAAUGGUACAACCAGGUAAUUAAAGCUAAAAUAUUCUGUGCACUCUCACUAGAUAGAAGUGUGUGCUUCAGUGGCAGAUUUUCUUUAAAAAAAUAGACAAAAAUAGUAUCAGCAUUCUAAGUCAGAUGAGACACAUCUGGUGUCAUUCAUUUACAGAUGAUACUUAGAUUGAGAAUGAUUUCCAUAUAUUAUAUUGAGCAUGGUGUGCUAUUGUUUUUAAACACACAGCAAACAAAAAGCUGCCACCAUUGUGGGUAUAUAUAUCUUUAUAAGUUAUGCAUAUUUCAUGUUAUUAUUCCAUUAUCCUAGGUCCUCCAUUCCCGAACGAGUAGUCGCUUGACCCUAGCAGGAAAGACCAGAGAUCUGACUUCGAAUUGAGUAAAAUUAAGAUCACUCAAGUUGAUAUUUAGAUUUGGAGUCACUGACAAGAAUUGGAACAUGAACAGGCUUAGUCUACACUCAGGUGGAACAACAGAUACGUAAUGCAUUUGUCAACAACGGUUGUGUCACGUUCCUGACCUGUUUUCCUUGUUUUUGUAUGUGUUUAGUUGGUCAGGGCGUGAGUUGGGGUCGGCAUUCCAUGUUAUGUGUUUCUAUGUUGGGUUAAAUGUGUUGCCUGAUAUGGUUCUCAAUUAGAGGCAGGUGUUUGACGUUUCCUCUGAUUGAGAACCAUAUUAAGGUAGGCUGUUCUCACUGUUUGUUUGUGGGUGAUUGUCUUCCGUGUUUGUGUUCGUCACCACACGGGACUGUUUAGUUUGUUUAGUCUGUUCCUGUUCGUGCGUUCUUUGUGUUAUGUAAGUUCUCAUUUUCAGGUCUGUUUAACGUCGUUUGUUGUUUUGUAGUUUGUUCAAGUGUAUUUUUGUCUUCGUUAUUAUUAUCAAAAUCAUCAUGUAUUCAUCACCCGCUGCGCCUUGGUCCGCUCAUUCGCCACAAGACGACCAUUACAGGUUAUGCCAAUUAAUGUAUAUUACAAGGGUUGAGAGGUGUGUACACUUGCAAUGUAACCUACAUCUGUUGUUAAACUCAUUUUUAAAAAUGUAUGUUUUUUUACCCCCAAUUUCAUGGUAUCCAAUUGGUAGUUACAGUCUUGUCUCAUCGCUGCAACUCCCGUACGGACUCGGGAGAGACAAAGGUCAAGAACCAUGCGUCCUCUGAAAAAACGACCCAACCAAGCCGCACUGCUUCUUGACACAAUGCCCGCUUAACCCAGAAACACCAAUGUGUUGGAGGAAACACCGUACACCUGGCGACCGUGUCAGCGCCAGGCCCACCACUGGAGUCGCUAGAGCAAGGACAUCCCUGCCGGUCAAACACUCCCCUAACCCGGAAGAUGCUGGGCCAAUUGUGCACCGCCCCAUGUGUCUCCCGGUCUGCUGCGGCAGAGCCUGGACUCGAACCAGGAUCUCUAGUGACCACUGUGCCACUCGGGAGGCCCCAUCUGUUGUUAAAGUCGAGUGACGAAUAAGUCCUAGAGGUUUUGUAAAUUCACAUGAUUAACCCUAUGUCAAUCCAGAUCUGAAUGUUUUAUAUCCUUUCUACUGUACACUAGUAGUUGAUGCCAAAGCUAAUCUUUCAAUGUCCUACUACAAGGACUCGGUCAGCUUGACAAGCUUUUGUGUCAUAUGAACACACACACACACACCAUGGGUUGCCAUGGCGAGUACACAGAGCAGUCAGGAAAAGCUCAUAUUGUGCAUUAAGUGACUGAAUGCAACAAAAAAGAAACAGCACAGUGACAUGAUCACACAGUUCACUCUCCGCCUCUCAAUUACACGCUCACUCACUCACAUAGUUUAGCUUUAUGAUUAUUCUCAUUUAAGGUAAUUGGGCCUCUAUUUCAGGAGAGGGAUGACAUGCAUGACCUGGCUCUCCUCUGCUGAGACCGAUCCGGGCCCAGCAGCACAGGCCCAGCUCUAACAGUGGUCCUCCCUACAGGUUGUCCUGUUCCCCUCCCCUGUGGCACCAGCUCCUGACACAACAAAAGAGGAUUGCUCUGAAGAGUUCCUGCUGGAUACAGAUCUGCCAAGCCCACCUCUGCCACUGCCCUUGAAAGCUUCUCCACUGGGCCCAUCAAGAGAUGUUGCCUUUUCAUCAUGGACCACGGCCCAUGGACAGAGCCCAUUAGAACUGCCAUUGAUGUCCUACUUGUCAAGCACCACGGGGAGGAAGAGACCCUGAAGUGGGUGGAUCUGCUGUGCUCUUAACACCAGCCCAGAGAAUCUCUAGAGACGCACAGCUGUGACAUUAUGUUAUUGCAGAGAGUAACGUAAUGCCACAUCCCCUUCCACCUGCACUUCCACAGCAGAAAACCUCACCAAUUCAAGGAUACCAUUUGAGGAUUUUGCUGCGGCUGCCUUCUUUCAAUGGGAGCUGGAGGCCUCGAUGCAGAGGAAGGAGUGAGGAAUGGGCGAACUGAGAAAAUAAAAAAUCCUUAGAGCAGCAUCCCUCCGGCCGUCGGUACAGGUUGUACAGCCACCUGUACACAUCUGUACAGCCACCUGUACACAUCUGUACAGCCACCUGUACACAUCUGUACAGCCACCUGUACACAUCUGUGCAGCCACCAGCCGCUGAAACAAGGCCCCGACAGCCCUCACACACAUACCGGCUUGCCUUGAGUGGCAGGAAAAUAUCUACUGCCUUUUAUGUGACUGAAAGGUGAAGAUGGAUGGUGAAGAAGGGGGAAUGACUCUACAGACACACACACACACACAGAAAUAAAUAGGAGCUGAAAAUCUAUUUCCAUUAAUGGAAGUGGUUUGGACUUGUUUGAUUUGUAUUUAUUUCACAGGUACUGUCCAUUCUUUUACAUUACUGUACAUACAUUGCUGGAUAUCACUGUAUAUAUUAUUGUCCAUUACUAUUUUGUGUAAAUGUUGCACAAAGGCCAACCAUUUAUUCUAAUCGCGGUGAAUAUGUCUUGUAUCAUAAACUAAUUGCUAUAGUUAGUGUGUGAAUACGUUUGUUGUAUGAAGAGUUGUGCUCCAACACUAUCAUAACUAUGGCUUUGAUUUCAUUCAAGUUAAUCUCAAAGUAAUCUUCUCUAUGAGCUGCUUUAGAGUUGUCUUUAUGAGUAAGAUACAUGCCUUUCCAUUGUGCUCUAACACUCAUAAAUAUUCCUUUGAUUUCAUUCUAUUAAACCUCAAUGUAAAGCAAUCUUCUCUUGUUUUUUUAUAUUGUCUUUAUUUGCAUUAAAGGGAAAGGAAAGGGAGUUACCUAGUCAAUUGUACAACUGAAUGCAUUCGACAGAAAUGGCAAAUGCAAAGUCCUUCAAAUACAAAGCGUCCUCCAGCGAUAUCCCAACUAUAAACAGAGUAAAGUACACGCACUAAAGCGUAAAAAAUAGAUUUUUAACAACAGUGUUUUUUAGAUAACUUGUUAGGCAUUCAAGGUGUUGGUCUGAUGGGAAUCGGUGACGUCAUCUUGCUUGAAAAACGGUAAAACUAGUUAAUCGCAGUGGGUCCCUUUAAUCGCAGUGGGUCCCUUCCUCUCCUGUAAAAUGAGUUUAUCACAGUGGUUCCCCUCCUCUCCUGUAAAACGAGUUAAUCACAGUGGUUCCCCUCCUCUCCUGUAGAACUAGUUAAUAACAGUGGGUCCCUUCCUCUCCUGUAAAACUAGUUAAUAACAGUGGGUCCCUUCCUCUCCUGUAAAACUAGUUAAUAACAGUGGGUCCCCUCCUCUCCUGUAAAACUAGUUAAUAACAGUGGGUCCCCUCCUCUCCUGUAAAACUAGUUCAUCAAAGUGGGUCCCUUCCUCUCCUGUAAAACUAGUUCAUCAAAGUGGGUCCUCUCUCCUGUAAAACGUAUUUUGUCAGAGGGAAUAAACAUUAUAAUAAAGAAUGGAAGACAAAAAAACUUUAUUAAAACUUGUAAUUAUUGUUGUCAAUAUUAUUAUUAUUAUUGUUGUCAUUCUCAUUAUUGUUUUAAGUACAGUGUACCAAGUUCUAAGGGAAUAAACUCUCUUAUGUUAAUCAAA